rnacentral:rRNA from 1 species
UACGGAGGGAGCUAGCGUUGUUCGGAAUUACUGGGCGUAAAGCGCACGUAGGCGGCUUUGUAAGUUAGAGGUGAAAGCCCGGAGCUCAACUCCGGAACUGCCUUUAAGACUGCAUCGCUUGAAUCCAGGAGAGGUGAGUGGAAUUCCGAGUGUAGAGGUGAAAUUCGUAGAUAUUCGGAGGAACACCAGUGGCGAAGGCGGCUCACUGGACUGGUAUUGACGCUGAGGUGCGAAAGCGUGGGGAGCAAACAGG